ACGGGGAGCACCACAACAGGUGGAGCCUGCGGUUUAAUCGGACUCAACGCCGGGAAACUCACCAGAUAAGACAGCUGAAUGAUAGUCGGGCUGAAGACUCUACUUGACUAGCUGAGAGGAGGUGCAUGGCCGUCGUCAGUUCGUACUGUGAAGCAUCCUGUUAAGUCAGGCAACGAGCGAGACCCACGCCAACAGUUGCCAGCUCGUCCUCCGGGAUGGUGGGGACACUGUUGGGACCGCCUCUGACUAAAGAGGGGAAGGAAUGGGCAACGGUAGGUCAGCAUGCCCCGAAUUAUCUGGGCUAUACGCGGGCUACAAUGGGUGGGACAAUGGGUAUCGACACCGAAAGGUGAAGGCAAUCUCCUAAACCCAUCCGUAGUUCGGAUUGUGGGCUGCAACUCGCCCACAUGAAGCUGGAAUCUGUAGUAAUCGUGUCUCAAAAUGGCACGGUGAAUAUGUCCCUGCUCCUU
rnacentral:rRNA from 1 species